rnacentral:lncRNA from 1 species
CAUGACGGUACCCAUUCUUAAUAACUAAAUAAGCCUAACACAUUGCGGAAUUUAACAAUCCGGAAUAAAAAUAAUAACAAACACUAAAUAGAAUAAGAAAUGUAUAAUGGUGGCGCUUGGAACAUACACUGUAUACACAACUUUUGAUAAAAACAUCCCAAAACUCAUAAUCCUACGGGCAACACAUGCUGCAAGAAAGUCUAACACUGC